GCCUCAACCUCCCAGAGUGCUGAGAUUACAGGUGUAAGAAUAUUUGCCUGCGGCUGCUGGACAUUGGGUGAUUUUCAUUAUUUUGCCAUUCACGUGUUUCCUUCACAGCCAAGUCUUAUCCUUAUCUGUUACUAUAAUUCUGGAGACCGCACACGGAGAAUGGAAGGUCUCUCUCUGGUGUGUAGGAAUUAGCCAGGCAAAGGCCACUGUCUACAGCCUCGUUUACACCAUCUGUCCAGGAGGAGCACCAUUCCCGCCCCAUGCGACCUUGCAGCAGGCAAGUCUGGCCUUGCUUGGCCGGGCUGCAGCGCGGUGCAGCCCGUGGUGUGCGGUGAGACACCUUUCUUGGCAGGAGCUGCCCAGGGCUCCCGGAAUGUCUGAUUACUCAUGGGGUUGCGACAGUGUGGUGAGCUCCAGGAGCGAGGCUUCCUUCCUGGAUGACCUCAGCCUGCUGGGAACUCCCCGGACAAGUGCAGCUGGAGGGAAGGACCUCCCGGGACAGGAGUGAUCUCUCAAGUACGAAGUGAAGCAGCCUUCUGGCCUUCUCCCUCUUCAGAACUGCGGUCUAGGUCUUGCAGGCGCCUUCUGAAUCAGAUCUGCUGUGGCUGCGCAAUGAGAUCCCAGCUGUGCAGGAGAGAGACGCAGCAAAUGUGUGCACUAACGGGGCGAAGUCUGGGUUAUGUGCAGAAAGAGAAGUGUGGACAUCUGUCCUCAAAUACAAUCAAAAUGACCACAAAAGGAUGAUGUGCAUCAAUUCCGGACACCGAGGCAGCCUGGACAGUGCAGCUAGAGACACCCAGGAGAGAGGACUUUCAGAACUGCUUCAGAAAGUGGGAAGGUUGGGAUAAGUGUGUUCCAACAAGAGGGAGGAUUUUAAGGGGGGAUUCAUGGCGCAAUGUCAUUUACGGCAAUAAAUUUAAAAAUAUU